rnacentral:sRNA from 1 species
CACUUUUUAACAACUAAAAUUCAUUUAACAUUUGUUUUUUGUUUUAAGACUUGUUGAAAAGUGCUUAAGGCCCUGGAUUUGUGUUUGUUUGUUUUUUAAGGUUACUCCGUUCCUCCGUCUUAGGGUUUGCGUGCAAGAUGGGAGACAGAGAAGCCUUGAACAAUGCUUCCUCGUUAUUUGAGCAGUGGCUAAGUGGGACUGUAAGUCUUCCCGUAAAUCUCAGGCUUCUGGUGUAUCGGUAUGGGAUGCAGAACUCUGGCAAUGAGAUUUCAUGGAACUACACUCUUGAGCAAUACCAGAAAACUUCAUUAGCUCAAGAAAAAGAAAAACUGCUCUAUGGAUUAGCAUCAGUGAAGAACGUUACUCUUUUGUCAAGGUAUUUGGAUUUGCUCAAGGACACAAACCUUAUUAAAACUCAGGAUGUGUUUACAGUCAUUCGAUAUAUCUCAUAUAACAGCUAUGGGAAGAGCAUGGCCUGGAAUUGGAUACAACUCAACUGGGACUAUCUAGUCAACAGGUGGGAUGAUCUGAUAAUGGUCUGCUGUUCUCUUUGUUUCAUACUAUCUACUGGUUCCUUCA